GUGAGUCAUCGAAUCUUUGAACGCACAUUGCGCCCGCCAGUAUUCUGGCGGGCAUGCCUGUUCGAGCGUCAUUUCAACCAUCAAGCCCCAGGCUUGUGUUGGAGCCCUGCGGCUGCCGCAGCCUCCUAAAAUCAGUGGCGGGCUCGCUAUCACACCGAGUGCAGUAGUUUACUCUUCGCUCAGGACGUGUAGCGGGUGCUAGCCGUGAAACCCCAACUUCUCAAGGUUGACCUCGGAUCAGGUAGGAAUACCCGCUGAACUUAAGCAUAUCAAUAAGCGGAGGA
rnacentral:misc_RNA from 1 species